UACGGAGGGUGCGAGCGUUGCUCGGAAUUACUGGGCGUAAAGCGGACGCAGGCGGCCUGUCAGGUCGAGCGUGAAAUCCCGGGGCUCAACCCCGGAAUUGCGUUCGAAACCGACUCGCUUGAGUGUGGGAGAGGGAAGCGGAAUUCCUGGUGUAGAGGUGAAAUUCGUAGAUAUCAGGAGGAACACCGGUGGCGAAAGCGGCUUCCUGGCCCGACACUGACGCUCAUGUCCGAAAGCGUGGGGAGCAAACAGG
rnacentral:rRNA from 1 species